ACCUGGGUGGCUCAGUCGGUGGAGUGUGUGACUCUUGAUGUCAGGGUUGUGGGUUCGAGCCCCAUGCUGGGUG
rnacentral:tRNA from 1 species